rnacentral:rRNA from 1 species
GAUGAACGCCCGCUACAGGCCUCACACACGCAAGUUCGAGGGGCAGCACGGUCUUAGCUUCGCUAAGGCCGAUGGCGACCGGCGCACGGGCGAGUAACGCGUAUCCAACCUGCCUUACACUCUCGGACAGCUCUUCUGAAAGGGAGAUUAAUACAAGAUGUUAUCAUGAGUAAGCAUUUUCGCAUGAUUAAAGGUUUACCGGUGUAAGAUGGGGAUGCGUUCCAUUAGAUAGUAGGCGGGGUAACGGCCCACCUAGUCUUCGAUGGAUAGGGGUUCUGAGAGGAAGGUCCCCCACAUUGGAACUGAGACACGGUCCAAACUCCUACGGGAGGCAGCAGUGAGGAAUAUUGGUCAAUGGACGAGAGUCUGAACCAGCCAAGUAGCGUGAAGGAUGAAGGUUCUAUGGAUUGUAAACUUCUUUUAUACGGGAAUAAACGGAUCCACGUGUGGAUUUUUGCAUGUACCGUAUGAAUAAGGAUCGGCUAACUCCGUGCCAGCAGCCGCGGUAAUACGGAGGAUCCGAGCGUUAUCCGGAUUUAUUGGGUUUAAAGGGAGCGUAGAUGGGUUGUUAAGUCAGUUGUGAAAGUUUGCGGCUCAACCGUAAAAUUGCAAUUGAUACUGGCAGUCUUGAGUACAGUUGAGGUAGGCGGAAUUCGUGGUGUAGCGGUGAAAUGCUUAGAUAUCACGAAGAACUCCGAUUGCGAAGGCAGCUUACUAACCUGUAACUGACAUUGAUGCUCGAAAGUGUGGGUAUCAAACAGGAUUAGAUACCCUGGUAGUCCACACGGUAAACGAUGAAUACUCGCUGUAGGCGAUAUACAGUCUGCGGCCAAGCGAAAGCAUUAAGUAUUCCACCUGGGGAGUACGCCGGCAACGGUGAAACUCAAAGGAAUUGACGGGGGCCCGCACAAGCGGAGGAACAUGUGGUUUAAUUCGAUGAUACGCGAGGAACCUUACCCGGGCUUAAAUUGCAACCGAAUAUGGCGGAAACGCUAUAGCUAGCAAUAGCGGUUGUGAAGGUGCUGCAUGGUUGUCGUCAGCUCGUGCCGUGAGGUGUCGGCUUAAGUGCCAUAACGAGCGCAACCCUUGCCGAUAGUUACUAACAGGUUAUGCUGAGGACUCUGUCGGGACUGCCAUCGUAAGAUGUGAGGAAGGUGGGGAUGACGUCAAAUCGGCACGGCCCUUACGUCCGGGGCUACACACGUGUUACAAUGGGGGGUACAGAGGGCUGCUACCACGCAAGUGGAUGCCAAUCCCAAAAACCUCUCUCAGUUCGGAUUGAAGUCUGCAACCCGACUUCAUGAAGCUGGAUUCGCUAGUAAUCGCGCAUCAGCCACGGCGCGGUGAAUACGUUCCCGGGCCU